GAGAGGGAGAGAAGGCACAGACUAAGUCAUGAGAGAAAUAGAUGAACAAAUGGAGGAUGCUUAAUGGAUAGAAGAAGAGAUAGAGGGAGAGGGUUGGGGAGCAGAUGAUAGAGUCUCCACAUAGGAGACUGGUGGGGGUUAACUGCAGCGAGGUUUGAAAGCACCUAGCAAUGUCUCAGCUUGUGGUAAGAGAAGCACGCAGACCCAUCCUGCUGGACUCUGCUGCUGUUAAUACAACUAGUGCUGCUGGUCAGGGUGGCCAGAAGCUGUCAGGAAAGGGCUGGUAAGAUCCUUCAAAGUGGCUGCUGUGCUUCCCUCUGUCACCUAGAACCCUAA
rnacentral:lncRNA from 1 species